rnacentral:rRNA from 1 species
AUUGAACGCUGGCGGAAGGCCUAACACAUGCAAGUCGAGCGGAGCGGCGGACGGGUGAGUAAUGCCUAGGAAUCAGCCUGGUAGUGGGGGAUAAAGUCCGGAAACGGGCGCUAAUACAGCAUACUAUCAGAUGAGCCAAGGUCGGAUUGGCUAGUUGGUGGGGUAAAGGACUACCAAGGCGACGAUCCGUAACUGGUCUGAGAGGAUGAUCAGUCCCACUGGAACUGCGACACGUUCCAUACUCCUACGGGAUGCCUCAUUGGGGAAUAUUGGACAAUGGGCGAAAGCCUGAUCCAGCCAUGCCGCGUGUGUGAAGAAGGUCUUCGGAUGGUAUAGCACUUUAAGUUGGGAGGCGUUACCAACAGAAUAAGCACCGGCUAACUUCGUGCCAGCCGCCGCGGUAAUAC